GAUGAAGAACGUAGCGAAAUGCGAUACGUAAUGUGAAUUGCAGAAUUCAGUGAAUCAUCGAAUCUUUGAACGCAUAUUGCGCUCUCUGGUAUUCCGGAGAGCAUGCUUGUUUGAGUAUCAGUAAACACCUCAACUCCCUUUUCUUUUUUGAAAUUGGAGCUGGACUUGAGUGAUCCCAACGCUUUCUUCCAAGAAAGUGGCGGGUUGCUUGAAAUGCAUGUGCAGCUGAACUUUUCUCUGAGCUAUAAGCAUAUCUAUUUAGUCUGCCUAAAAAACAGAUUAUUACCUUUGCUGCAGCUAACAUAAAGGAGACUAGUUCUUGUGCUGACUGAUGCAGGAUUCACAGAGACAGCUUCGGCUGACUUUGUAAACUCGAUCUCAAAUCAAGUAAGACUACCCGCUGAACUUAAGCAUAUCAAUAAGCGGAGGA
rnacentral:misc_RNA from 1 species